GCGCAUAGAGAGGGAGGCGCCUGGCUGAUGCUUCGGACACAUCUCCUGGCUUGGCAUCAGCUGCUUCUUCCGAUGCCCCAGAGCUGCCCACGGGGCCGGGGACGAGAGUCCUCCUUAGUCUCCGGCUGCCGUGUAGGUACAAAGUCCGCAGGGUCAGCGCACGGUCAGCGAGCAGCAGCAUCAGGCCAGCCUCUGUGUGAGCUUCAAUGCCUUUUUGAUAUCGUGGCAAUCAAAACCGGAUGCACUAUUCCAAGGUGGUGGUUAUCACCUUGGAAGCCUUGCCUGGCAUGGGUCUCAUCCCAUUGGGACCGGCCUGCCUCACCUCUGCACGUAGAGGACGAGGGAUGCUGCGGGCCCCGUCAAUCAAGGAAUUCCAGCUGGACGGGUCCAGAACGGCCUUCUGCUGCCAAGCCUUGUGCCCUCUGGAACAUCUUAUCUCCCCCCCCCCCCAAGUGAGAGCUCUCCCACCCUUCUGAUCUUCCUGGUUCUUCGGCCAGUUGUCUUGGGGCCCCAAUGACGGAGCAUCACACCGGAGGCAAUUGAUCAACUAAUAGCAGUUCCCACGUCCCCUCCUGUAUAUUCUCUUUCGUCCCUCCCCAUCUUUGGCAAUAACGCGUCUUUUAUUGCAGUGUUAAUGUGACUUUAUACAUUUUUUCAUAUAUUUAUGGUUUCACGAAGGAUGGCGAAUCGACCUGUCCCAGGAUAAUGUUGCAAGAGCUAAUAUGGGUCGGACACCAGGAUCGGAGGUUUUAGUCUUCCGAGUUGACGGAUUUGUGCUGGUACCCCAUCCUCAGGGAAUUGUCUCUCACUCCUGGAAUAUUUAUGGCUUCGUUUCAAUGUUAUAAUCCAGCCCGAGGCAGCCUUUUGACGAAACGGGCGGCCAAUCAAUUUAAUAAGUACAAUAAAUAAAAUAUUUUAACAUUUAA